rnacentral:lncRNA from 1 species
CCAAAAAUUACCACAAAAUUUGCAUCUCAACACACACUUAUCUUAGAAAAUGAACAUGGGUCAAUAAUCAGGGCAUGAGCUAUUUUGAUUGUUUUAAGAACAUCUGGUGAAUGGUCAUUUAUUCAGGAAAAAAAUCUAGUUAACAUCAGAAAGAAACUCAAAAGUCUACACAGCUGAGUCAUGGCUUGCUCACUUCUCAAGAUCUGCUCAUUACAUGUAGACUCUCAGGAAUUUCCUCAUCCCCAAUACCUAAUCUGUGACUGCCAGUGACCCAGGAAGUGUUUCUCAUCUCAGUCACACAGCCCUGUGUUGCAGAGGCUUUGUUCAAGGUAUCAGUAAUAGGAGCCCAAAUUCUCCAUCUUGGGGGACCCACUCAGGAUCAAAGGCUGUGCCCCAUGCACAGCAGAUAGAGAAUGUGAAAGGCACAUAUGAGGGACACAAUGAGAAGCCCAAGGCUUCCUGCCUCUCCUUCCUCUAAGCCCACUAGAGAAGAUCUCAGCACCAGGGUUCAGCGAACUUUGCAGAAGAAGAGGAAGAAAGAUUCUAAGAGCCAACAGGGAUGGAAAACACCAAGGACAAUGCUUCCCAGAUACAACAGGACUGACCACAUAUGAACUCAAAGACAGUGGCAGCUGCAGAGAGCCUGCACAGGUCCAAACCAGAAGGGGCACCAGGAGGAAGUGGACAUGAGCUCCCACCCCUAAGCAAGAAGAUAACUCCAAUUAUCAAACGGUUGCAAAGGAAAAAAAUGUUUUCCAAUGAAGUCUCGCUGGGUAUAAAAAAAAAAAUUCACUUAAGGGCAUUUUUGGAGAUCUUUUUGUGUCAUAAUCCUUUGUCUGGGCCUUUCUUUUUUAACCUUAGUGGUCUUAUGCUCAUAUGUUAUUGUUUCUGAUUUUGUUUUUAUGUUUAUUUCUGUGUGUCUCUACAGGUAAAAAAGCUUCUCUUGCUUUUCCUAAUUUUGUUUUCUCAUUGUUUUGCUCUAGUCUGGUCUGGUUUUUGUUUGGUUGGUUUUUGUCUGUUUUUUAAAGAGCAAAAGAAGGCAUGGAGUUAGAUGGGUAUGGAGGCAGGGAGGAUCUGGGAGAUGAGGGAGAGGAAACUGGUCAGAAUACAUUGUAUGAAAUACACUAUUUUCUAUAAUAAAAAAACAAGAUUUUAAGAGCUGAAUGUUUCUGUGAAGAAGCUUCUCUGAUGAGGGUCAAGUGAUGCUCUCAUCUGGGUCCCAGCCUAGUGUGGCAGCUGUAGGUCCUGGUAGAUACAGGCUCUGUGAGUUGGCUGAGUCACAAGGGACUGAAAGGGGGAUAGAAGAAUAGGCUAAGAGGGGUCACCAGAAGAACUAGGGGGAGCCUGAGUCUUCAUCAAGAGGCUGGGUCCCUAGGGGAUGGAAGGGGUUUUA